rnacentral:tRNA from 1 species
GCCGGGGUGGCGGAACUGGCAGACGCAGGGGACUCAAAAUCCCCCGGGCUUCGGCUCUUGCGGGUUCGACUCCCGCCCUCGGCA